UACGAAGGGUGCUAGCGUUGUUCGGAAUUACUGGGCGUAAAGCGCGCGUAGGCUGCGAUGCAAGUCAGGGGUGAAAUCCUUGGGCUUAACCCAAGAAUUGCCUUUGAAACUGCAUUGCUAGAGUGUCGGAGGGGAUAGCGGAAUUCCUAAUGUAGAGGUGAAAUUCGUAGAUAUUAGGAGGAACACCGGUGGCGAAGGCGGCUAUCUGGACGACAACUGACGCUGAGGCGCGAAAGCGCGGGGAUCAAACAGG
rnacentral:rRNA from 1 species